ensembl:lncRNA
CCUCACAGGAGAAUUAUCUGGCUGCACUGGGCACUUGCUGAUUUCAGACUGAGAUGGGGCGGAGUGAAGGGGCAUUGAGGUGUGUCUACAAAAUGACUGACAGGAGGCCCGUCCAAACACAGACAAGCAUUCUGGACUUCCCAAACGUGCUGAGGCCGUGGCGUAAACCAUCAGUUUUUAUUAUGUUGACAUAUUUUCCAGGAACCCUUUCAGAGUCUCGGAAAUGCAAAGCAUUUACACCAUCCUUUCCACCGUAGGAACCCUGUUAGGAAUUUUAAGCACGCUUCCACCACAGCAAC